GACGAACGCUGGCGGCGUGCUUAACACAUGCAAGUCGAACGGAAAGGCCCUGCUUUUGUGGGUUGCUCGAGUGGCGAACGGGUGAGUAACACGUGAGUAACCUGCCCUUGACUUUGGGAUAACUUCAGGAAACUGGGGCUAAUACCGGAUAGGAGCUCCUGCUGCAUGGUGGGGGUUGGAAAGUUUCGGCGGUUGGGGAUGGACUCGCGGCUUAUCAGCUUGUUGGUGGGGUAGUGGCUUACCAAGGCUUUGACGGGUAGCCGGCCUGAGAGGGUGACCGGGCACAUUGGGACUGAGAUACGGCCCAGAAUGCUACGGGAGGCAGCAGUGGGGAAUAUUGCAGAAUGGGCGGAAGCCUGAUGCAGCAACGCCGCGUGCGGGAUGACGGCCUUCGGGUUGUAAACCGCUUUCGCCUGUGACGAAGCGUGAGUGACGGUAAUGGGUAAAGAAGCACCGGCUAACUACGUG
rnacentral:rRNA from 1 species